AUUGUCAUGGAGACGGGAAGCUGGCUGCAGCGGCGGCGGGGACCGUGGGGCCGAGGUGGCUGCCAGCCGGCCAAUGUCUAAGCGAGGCGGAGCGGCCCAGGCGGCCCGAGCCUGGGGGAGCGCGCAGCCGGCCAGUGGCGGCCUCGCCGGCGGCCUCUUCCCGGGCUCGCAGUAGGCCCGAGUCGUCGCCGGGAGCUCCUGGGAGCAGCGUCCCCGCCCUGCUCCCCUCGCUCCCGCCUCUUGCGGCCCCACGGCCCCUCAGCGCCCGCCCCCGGCUCCGCCCGCCGCAGCCGCAGCCCCUGGCGCUAACGGUCGGUAACGGCCCGCGCGCGCCGCCCGCCGGGGGCUCGCGCCAGCCACGAGGGAGCGUCCGCGGCCCGCGCGCCCGCGCGGCGGAGGAGAGGUGUUAAGUGUGAUGCUUCCAUAAUACAUUUGGAUGCUGUCAGCUAAGUUCACUUCUGAACUAAGGGGUUCCUCCAAAUGUUGGCUGAAAUUCAUCCCAAGGCUGGUCUGCAAGUGAGUGUCUGCACACAGUUUGCUUGUAUGUGGAGUCGAUCCAAAAUAGCAUCAAUGUUGGUUUUACCAAAGUAUUUAUUAUUGAUAAUAGAGGCUAAGUACAAAAUGUAGAGAAUGUCAGCUACUUGAGGCCUUUGAUUAUUAAAAAUUUUAUUAAUGCAUUAAACAAGAGUACAGUAAAUAGAUAAAUUUUAGGUUCAUGAAAUAAAACUGAAUAAUUUAUUUUUACUUACUAUUUAUCA
rnacentral:lncRNA from 1 species